GGCAGCGCGUGGAGAAGGGAACCACCUGCAGGUAGAAGUCGUUGCUGCGCAGGAGCCUCCAGUCUAACGUGGAGAGCUGGACGACCACUUUCUCUCCCAGACACAGAGGCCAGCCGGAGUGAAGGAACAAGCAACCCAGCAGCAACACGCUCACAUAUGGAAGGAAUUAUUGUCGUGACUCUCGCCGUCUAACUCCCCGUCCGAAGGCAGCUCCACUUGGCAACAAUGAGAACACAGUUUGCUCACAAUGCUCCGCACACGUCUGUGUCUGUGAUGCUAGGAGAAACUGCAAAAAACAAAUAUAGGAGACAGUUCUGAGACGGCAAAGUUUGGAAACCUGUGAGGCAGAGAGUACGCGACACAAUCACCGCCUACUGAGCUUGACGCGUCUGUAAACUACUUUACUUCACUGCAUUUCUCUCAUCCUUCAACUCGGUCGAGCCCCUGACACAGGAAACGACCUCUUUUGUCCACUGGGUGACACCAUCUCGAAUUUCAGCAGCUACUUUCACUCAUUUUAUAACCUGGCCUGUCGAGAGUUUCUGGGGCGGACUCGACCCGCCGCGGUGCAGCUGAGUGACUUGUAAAGAAGGUCACGCAUGUGUCGUAUAAUAUAAAGCCCACCUUGAACUUUCCCUUGGUGUGACCUGGUCCUGUGCUCUUCAUCUUCUUUUUUUUUGGGAAGGCCCGGAUAAGAUCCAGCUACUGGCUUGGACUUUAUUGGACGAUUUGCGCAAGAAAGUUCAUACUUCAUACUUUAAACCAGUGAGAGCCAAACACUGGGGUGGGACCCACAGAUGGGGUCACAGGAGAUUUCUUUUGGGUUUUUUGGGUCCCCAAGCAAAUUUGCAGAAUUUUUCUUCAGUCGAAAAUGAUGUGUAUAUGUUCUGAAAAACAUGCGUAAGAUGAAGUACAGUAGCAGUCUAAAUUAGACUGCUUUUAAAGACCUUAAGGCGUCUUUAUUGGCGGAAAUAGAAUAUACUACUCAUUGAGUAUGUUUGUGUAAGUGUAAAAUAAUUUGAUUUUCUGAGCCUAAGAAUUUGCUUUUUAUGUCCACUUUAGACGUUUGGGAAUGCUAACGUCAGCAAUGGACAGGAAGUUAGCUCAAUUUCAGCAAAAUAAGGCAUCAAUGAUAGCAGUUUUAACGGGGGUUAAACUCAACUAACCCAAGUACAGGAAGACCGUUGACGGACAUAGUCUUUUGACUUUUGAAGCCUCGAGAUUCGCCUCGACAGUUUUUGCGACCGGAAAUUAAAAGACGUCACCAGCAAUCGGCCACCUAGUGGACGGUAUUUAUAAUAGACAAAAUGAACCUCAUCUUAAACGAGCGCGUGAUUGAUUGAGACCCUUAACUCAAGUGAGAAGUAGAAGCUUCCACUCCUUUCAAACCUCAUUCUUUUUGCAAAAAAAAAACUGCAGCCGCCCCCUGGUGGAUAACUGCCAAUUGCCUCCAAACGUACAGUCUUUGAGGGCGACCUGACAGCCCGAUGAUUACGACAUGGGCAGACGUGCCCUGUGCGGCUCGGUCCCUGGUUGAACCCGCAGCCAUCUGGACCAUUUGCUGCUCGUCAACUCCCCUCGUCUCCAAUUACAUUUCCUGUCUGUCUCCACUAUCACUGUGCACUGAACUGUACUGACUUCACGUAAGGUUUCAUGAGACGAGGCUUUGGACUUUUCUUGGUUGGUUUCAGCUCAUUCGGUGGCAUCACGAGUGCAAACAUAAAGUCUUACAAGGCCUUUGGACCUGACUUAUGACUUGUCUCGUGUUGGACAAGACGCCCACGAACUCACUCAGAAACAGAUGCUCCGAAAAAGAGUUUUCACCAAAAGAAUCCGAAAAGGCUUAACAGCUGAUACAUUUCUCACACAGCUCUUAAAGGAUAUGACAGAUGCUUCUGCUUCUCAUUAUUCUGAGCGUGUGUUUUGGUGUGAAGCCGGGUUCUCAGCGAGGAACUCACGCAAGCGUGCUGCUGCAGUUUGUGCAGGAGAUGCUUGGCGGGAACAAAGUAGUCCAGUAGGUAGCGGAGACUGUCGUGUUGGUAGGUCGACUCCAGGACUGAGAAGACCUGGACAGAGACGGACAAAGGAGACAAAAACUCCUGAAGUGAAAAACCACAUUCCUUCUCAUUUUGGACUUGAAAAUGUUACUUGUUACUGAAAUGUUACAGGAAAGGCACAAUAAAUUGAUUGUGGGGAAUACUCGCCAAAA